CAUCAAAGCACUGAUUCCAAGAAAAAACAAACAAAGAGGUAAGUGUGCCAUGUACCAAAAUCCUCUUUCUUUAAAAGAAAAUGAGAUUGUCUGAGCCUGUAUUUGUAACAUUGCAGGAUAUAAUUCAUUGUUUUCUGUUCCAUUUCAUGGUUCUUUGAAUAUUGCUCAAAAUAUCCCCCUUUCCACUAACAAAAUCUGAAGCAGCACUUUUGUCCUCUCUGAGGCCCUUUAAACUUUUAAACCCGUUUCUUUUGUUAAGAAGAAAUCUUCACCUUACCAACAACCUGAAUUACCUUUUUGUAAUAAUGCUUACAUUUGUUGCAUGACACUCAUUUAAAUUUUAUGCCUUUUGUCUGUGAAGCUGGCUUAAUAUCCAUUUAAAUGUGUAUUUUUACUGUUAAUGUGCAACUAAGGAAGAAAUCAUUUUGUUAACUAGUGAGAAAUCUUCCAUUUAGUCACAUUUGAGGGUCAAGAUCAACAACCUAAUCAUAAAGGACAGAUUUCGGUGGCCCACUCUGGCUCUUCUCCACAUCACCCAUGGAUCAGGUUGGCUCCCAUCAAACAUUGCUGGCUCAGCUCCGUGGAUGAUGUAGGGCGGAGCUGGUGCAUGUCACCACUGCAGCAACAUGGGAUCACCAAAUCCUGGAGCCAGAUGAUGCAGGACGUGGGGGGACAAGGUGGGAUGUCAAAUCUUUAGGCUCCUCAAGUAAUAAUUUAUUGGAAUAAAUAAUUCAUUCUCUUUGCACAAAAGCCAUUUUAAUUUUUCUUUCUGUGAGGUCAAUAUAAAUUGCAGGAAGGUAUCUCCCCAUCUUACAUUACCACUAAUUGUAGAACCUGGAGUCUUCCAGUGAAGCAGAAUUUUUGGCUGAUUUACGACAGGCAAAAUUCCACAAGCUGCCUUGAGGCAUUGAAUCACUCCCUUUACCCGCCAUGCCAGUCCCCUCUGGAUGCUGUCAAGAACAAGAAAGAAAGGUUACAGUACAGUAAACCAUGAGUAGGUCCUGUACACUUCCUCAGGCAUCUUCAAAAAUACAAGAUAAGCAGGUUCUGCCGAGUCCAUUAAGAAUGUUAGCAAAUGGAAAAUAUCUCAACAUGCUAUAUCUAUGGAAGCUUUCAAUGCAAUUAGCAGAAAUCCAAUUUACGAUGCAUUCUUAUACUCAGGUGAGGGCUCAGAACAAAUUUCUUUCACAAAUACCAGUCAAAGAACAUGAAAGGCACUGCAGACUAAUUCAACCAGAGAAAUCAGCCAUAGCAGAGCACUUGAUGAACCAAUCUGGACACAGUAUAUUAUUUGAGAACACAUAAAUGCGUGACCAUUCCAACAACUAUGUCAGACUACAAAGAGAAGCCAUUGAAAUCCACAAGCAUGUGGACAACUUCAACAGAAAGGAGGAAACCAUGAAAAU
rnacentral:lncRNA from 11 species